AGGCGGUUAAGAACUCAGAAUGGACAAGGUCGCCUUCAGCGGCAACGGGAAGGAAGGCGUGCAAUUACAAGGACCUGAGCGCCAUGACGUCAAACAGCGCGACGGCAGAGAAAGAUUGUGAGCUACGCGGAAGAGGAACACAGAUAGGUCUCGACCCUUAGUAGUGACGUAUGAGGAGAGGCGUGUCAGCCGGGAGGCGUCCCGUGGUUUCUGGCGCGGGUAACUGGAUGGGUUAUUCGGGUUCCCAAUAAUAUAAACAAAACACAGAGACCGAAACGAGAAGCAUCGCUCUAACUCGUCUUCCCUCUCAAGCCGCCCAGUUACCAAACACUUUGGCGGGGGCUCCACCGACCAAAACAGCCGUAGAAAGCACGACGGCGUCAGGAGGAAAGGAAAUCGGUUUUACGGCAAGCCGUAAAGUAGGGUCGACGGUGAGCUGUAAAGCACGUUCUUUUCCGGUUCACGACAGCAGCCGCGACCGUCUCUGCCGGCCUUCCUCCGUCUGGGCAUUGGUGGAUACCCAUGGAGGCCCUUUAAACUUCUCAUAACAGUGUUCUGGAGCAUCAGUGACUCUGACAGUCAAGGUCCCUGGGAAGUCACUGAGAAAAUGACGAAUAGAAAGAAAAGUGAAGGAGUUGUAAGACUGAAAAGAGAGAUGGGCCAAUGAACUUCUGAGUCACUUGAACAAAAUCAAAUACUAACUAUGAAAAUCAACCAUUAGUCAAACUAAUUGAUUUAUAAAAUGAAUAGUCGUCUCAGAAUCAAAAUAAUGAUAUUAAAUGGCAGAAUAACUGCAUUUGAGGUUAUUGAAAGGGAAGAAAACCUCUGCAGUGACUAAAGUUAAUGGCCUGCUGUGCUCUAAUGUCAACUUCCCCCAUUCAGAAUAUAUACGUAUUUCUCUCUCUCUCUCCUCUCCAUGGGUUAUUCAUAUUCAUAUGACUAUGGGAUUAGUUCACAGAUCACAAUAAAACAAGAUUAUGAUGUGAAUAUUACUCUCAUAUUUUGAAUACUCCCUGAAGUGCUUUUUGGGUAAUUAGAGUGAUUUUUCAUUUAGAAUGGGAAUAUACUGAUUUUAAUAUGAAGGGUUUCUAACAUAUAGCUCCUAAAUGCAUGUUAUCUUUUUACAUUUUUAUAAAGAUGCCCAUUUGAGGCUUCCAAAGCCCAUGGGUAGUUGAAGUUUAUUUCCUAUUCAGCCAAAAACUGCUCUGCAGACACAUGCAGUGCAGCUCCUUAUGGGAAC